AUUGUUGAGGGAACAUAACCCAGCAAGACAGCAGAAACACAAUGAAUGGCUCAGAAGUCCAUACGGAUGUAUAACAGGUAAUUGCCAAACACCAAAAAGCAUGGUGUCGACUUCAUCUUCAACUAUUAUACAGGCCAAGGAAAGACAAUCGCUAUAAUGCAACCUAAAUUAUUGAGGGAAUAUAACAGGUAUCAGGUAAUUGCCAAUUGUUGAGCAAACAUUACCCAGCAAGAUAGCAGAAACACAAUGAAUGGCUCUGGAGUCCAUCUGGACGUAUAACAGGUAAUUGCCUAAGCGCAUGGUGUAGAGUUCGUCAUCAACUAUUAUACAGGCCAGGGAAAGACAAUCACUAUUAGGUUACAAGAAGAUAAUUUCUUUCCUGUUUUCUGAAACUGGCAAAAGAUAAUUUCUGGUCUCAUUGAGACU
rnacentral:lncRNA from 1 species